rnacentral:rRNA from 1 species
GUCUCGGUGGUCAUAGCGGGGGAGCCACGCCCGGCCCCAUUCCGAACCCGGAAGCUAAGACCCCCAGCGCCGAUGGUACUGCACCCGCCAGGGUGUGGGAGAGUAGGACACCGCCGAGCACAC